UGCGCCCAUAGCUCAACUGGAUAGAGUACUUGACUACGAAUCAAGCGGUUAGAGGUUCGACUCCUCUUGGGCGCA
rnacentral:tRNA from 1 species